UCAACUUGGCUUACACUCUGGAUGGAAACCUUAGGGUCUUAAAAUACUCCUUUCCCACUAGGAAGGACAAAUAUUUCAGGAAAUUCAAACAUACACAUAAAGUCUUUGAAACUCCUUGAAAAGGACUGGUCAUUUUGGGUGACAUCAAAUCAAGUCCAGCUACACAGGCUGUGUUUACAGGCUUCCCAUUAAUGAACACUGAGACUUGACUUCCUUCACCAUAAACCUGUUUGUUCCUGAUUGUCUGUUGAGUCAUGGACCUUUCCAGUCAGUUUCUAAAUGCAAG
rnacentral:lncRNA from 1 species